rnacentral:lncRNA from 1 species
CGUGAUGUCAAUGACCACACCUUCCACUCCACUUCCAGCAUCUAGCGCCAUAUCUGGCACAAAUAAAUUGAAGCAGCCUUGAGAAGAAGGAAGGUCAAUCAUGGUUGAUCCUGAUUUUACAAAUGAGGAAACAAGAACAGAGAGUAUACAGAUGAUUUACACCUACACCCAGGGUCAACUCAGCUUACGAGUGCAGAAUCCUGACCGAGUCCCCAAGCUUCUGGAACUCAGGCAAAUGUUUUUCCCACUGUACUGCUCUGCACCUUUCACAAAUAGCUACUUGGUCAACUCCAAUUCAGGCUUUCGUCCCUCCCGCUGCUUGCCAAGUGUUCUAGCACUUUCUACGCACCUGUCACCACACAUCCUCCACUCCAGUCCCCAUCAUCAUUAUCCUCACCUGCCACAGG